UACGUAGGGUGCAAGCGUUUGUCCGGAAUUAUUGGGCGUAAAGAGCUCGUAGGCGGUUUGUCGCGUCUGCUGUGAAAACGCGAGGCUCAACCUCGCGCCUGCAGUGGGUACGGGCAGACUGGAGUGCGGUAGGGGGAGAUUGGAAUUCCUGGUGUAGCGGUGGAAAUGCGCAGAUAUCAGGAGGAACACCGAUGGCGAAGGCAGAUCUCUGGGCCGUAACUGACGCUGAGGAGCGAAAGCGUGGGGAGCGAACAGG
rnacentral:rRNA from 1 species